rnacentral:misc_RNA from 1 species
CUGAGAACUUGCCCUUCGGGGUAGAUCUCCCACCCAAUGUUUACAUUACUUUGUUGCUUUGGCAGGCCCGUCUUCGGACCACCGGCUUCGGCUGGUCAGUGCCUGCCAGAGGACCCCAAACUCUGAAUAUUUAUUGUCUGAGUACUAUAUAAUAAGUUA